GGAGGAGGAAAAAAUAGAUUUAAAARAGAUUUUAAAAGGAUUUAAGUCCCAACAUGUAGAUAUCCCAGAUGAAGGCAGCGCGUUGGGUGGCCUCGAGUGUGCGCGGCCAGGACUCGCCCGGGAUGGCCUGAGGAGCAGUUCCGUCAUCGUGGUUUGGCUAGACGGUCACUUCUCCAAAAGCGGAUGACUUCAGCCGUGGGUUUGGAGCAYCGUGGCAUCUGCUGCACCCUUGAGAGCGUUCAGGGCUGCUAGGAAGCAGGGCUGCUGAGCUGCUCUGUGGCAAAGACUUGCUCUCAGUUCCUGCGGGUCCUUCCUCAUAUCCCCCUCCCCAGCUGCUGCAAGUGCACAGCUCGGCUGUAGCCGAUAUGAACACCUGAGAAACAGCUUUUAGGCCACAGCAUUUUGCAGCCAUACUGGUGAUGGAACCUCARUAAACUUAAACCUAAAUUAACUUAAACCUAAGUGAAAAUCCCUGCUGAAACACUAGUAGAAGAAUGAGCUGCUGAGCAGYUUAUAUCCCACUACCUUCCUGGCUCUGCUCUAGCUAGAAAGGAAUGAGAGAAACAGUAGGAAAAGCACCAGCAACUUUGCCCAGCACAGGGCAUUUUUGCAGCAUUUGGGGUAAACAUACCUUGCAACUCUGAUCUUGAAGCUUUUGAGCUGCUCUGGAGAACUCCCAUCUCCCUUCUCUGMUUGCAAUUAGCGUCCAUGACCCAGGCUUUGUUUCAC